rnacentral:rRNA from 1 species
UACGUAGGGUGCGAGCGUUACUCGGAAUUACUGGGCGUAAAGCGUGCGCAGGCGGUUCUCCAAGUCCGUUGUGAAAGCCCCGGGCUCAACCUGGGAAUGGCAGUGGAAACUAGGGGACUGGAAUCUGGCAGAGGGGGGUGGAAUGCCGCGUGUAGCAGUGAAAUGCGUAGAGAUGCGGCGGAACACCGAUGGCGAAGGCGGCCCCCUGGGCUGAGAUUGACGCUCAGGCACGAAAGCGUGGGGAGCAAACAGG